AUACUCUUGAUACCCUGACUACUAUUCUGAAUUCCGGCACAAGUUAGAAAAGAGAAUUAUUUGCGAUCUAAUUAAUUUAGCUGUGUGAUUUGUGUUCUAUCCACAAAAUUAGCUGGACCCAUUCCUGGUUUAAGAAGGAAUCUUCUGGAUGAGUCUUCAGCCAUCUUGUUUCUUCCCAGUUUCUGCUAGUCAAAUGAUUAGAGGUGACACCACCUAUUGAUUUUCAUGCCUGAGGAUAAUCACUAUGAAGAGGAUUGCAAUGCAAUUGUGAUGGAAUGUAGUCUAGAUUUUCAGGAAGGAGGCAACUAGUUUGUGUGAGAGAAAGAGAAUGAAGACAGCUCCUCCCUCAUAGUCCCCAGAGUAUAUCCUUCAUACCUGCACUGAAUAUAGAAGAUAACCUUGACGAAGAGAGCUGUUGCCAAAGCUGAAUGAGGCUUGAGCCUGGACUAAAAACAUGUUUAUGAAAAUGAUUCAGACAUGAAGAUAAGGAAGAAGGGAAGCACUUUAAGACUUGUAAAUUUCUGUUACUUUAACCCUAUAAUAAAAGUAGUAUUGGUAAUUCAUAA